AGCAGUAGCCACGGUAAUACGAAGGGUGCAAGCGUUAAUCGGAAUUACUGGGCGUAAAGCGUGCGUAGGCGGUUUGUUAAGUCUGUUGUGAAAUCCCCGGGCUCAACCUGGGAAUGGCAAUGGAUACUGGCAAGCUAGAGUGUGUCAGAGGAUGGUGGAAUUCCCGGUGUAGCGGUGAAAUGCGUAGAGAUCGGGAGGAACAUCAGUGGCGAAGGCGGCCAUCUGGGACAACACUGACGCUGAGGCACGAAAGCGUGGGGAGCAAACAGGAUUAGAUACCCCGGUAGUCCCUGUCUCUUAUAA
rnacentral:rRNA from 1 species